rnacentral:rRNA from 1 species
UGGGGAAUAUUGCACAAUGGGCGCAAGCCUGAUGCAGCCAUGCCGCGUGUGUGAAGAAGGCCUUCGGGUUGUAAAGCACUUUCAGCGAGGAGGAAGGUGGUGAACUUAAUACGUUCAUCAAUUGACGUUACUCGCAGAAGAAGCACCGGCUAACUCCGUGCCAGCAGCCGCGGUAAUACGGGGGGUGCAAGCGUUAAUCGGAAUUACUGGGCGUAAAGCGCACGCAGGCGGUUUGUUAAGUCAGAUGUGAAAUCCCCGGGCUCAACCUGGGAACUGCAUUUGAAACUGGCAAGCUAGAGUCUCGUAGAGGGGGGUAGAAUUCCAGGUGUAGCGGUGAAAUGCGUAGAGAUCUGGAGGAAUACCGGUGGCGAAGGCGGCCCCCCUGGACGAAGACUGACGCUCAGGUGCGAAAAGCGUGGGGAGCAAACAGGAUUAGAUACCCUGGUAGUCCACGCUGUAAAACGAUGUCGAUUUGGAGGUUGUGCCCUUGAGGCGUGGCUUCCGGAGCUAACGCGUUAAAUCGACCGCCU